rnacentral:sRNA from 1 species
CCGCGCAGAUAAAGCAUCCGAUUCAGCACCCGACGAAGCAGACGCUAGAGCAGCUACUAGAGAAUCCGCAGACGCGGAAGUCUCAGCCGAACAAAGGCAGUCGAUACCACAGGAGAAUCAACCAAAUCCAUAUCAUAGGAAAGCAGAACAAUAAAUAAAAGCUCUAUCCUCCGCCGAUGAAUAAGUAAGAACAAGGGUUGGCGGUUUUAGAACAUAUUAAAGAGCAGCCAUAGGAUUAAGCAGAGUAAGAAUAAGAAAAGGAAUGUUUAGGCUAUUUUGAACCAAUAACAAAGAAAGUGGGUAGCAGGUGUGGUGUAGUAAAAGGGGUUUCGAAGCUUUCGAACCCUGUGAGGAUUCAGCUUCCAAUUGAGUCGGUGUUUUAAGUAUAGACUUUCCACAUACAUAAAUAGGGCUUUUUAGCCAUUCGACGUUUUGUCUCUUUUUUUUCCAAUGCUGCCAUAAAUAUAAGAAAGAGAAAGAAGCGGCUAAGCCCCUGCUUGAUAAAGCAAAACUAAAAUGCGGGUAGCUCGAUCGAUCGCAUGGCUUCGAUUGGUUUCGGUCUAAUCAAUGAAUGUAUAGGGGUCCACCUAAUCUUUCCGCAGGUACGAUCUAGACGACCACAUUCCUGUUGGGCUAACUCGCCCAAUCAAUCCAAUGGCUUCGCCCGUUCCAGUCCCGUUAGAGAGAUCCAAAACAGGAUAUUCGGAGCCUAUAGAUCGAUCCCGCGUCUAUUCGUUCUCUGACCAGUUCCAUAUAAAGGGGGACGACCAUGUGCCACCAAUAGCAAAAUAACUGGCGGCCGAAUCCAAUGCCAGUCCCAGCAGUUGACUCCAUUGACCGAGUAUAGGCGCCAUUCCGCCCGCCCGGAUUGGUUGUUGCUGUUGGGAGACUGAGCUUGAUUGAUAUGAUGGAAGAACCCCCGACGGCUAGGCAUUUGGUCCUCCCUACCGGUGCAUCAAUCCAGCGCAUUUAGACCUGUCCUAGCGGAAUGGACAAAACCCUAUCUUGGUUGGAGAAAGCCAGUCCAGAGAGUCUGGUAUUUUGUUGGUAAUUCCACUAUCACUUGAUAACUUGAAGAAAAACCUCCCUAUGAAAGCCCUGUUGAUAGAUUCAGGCAAGCAAAUAUAAGACCUAAACCCGACUAGCUUCAGUUGCCUCCCUCUCUAAUAAAGUCUGACACUAGUUUAGUUCUUUCACUCAGACUUGCUCCUGCAGUGGUAGUCAUCGGUGGCAUCUUGCCUAGAAGCGUCAUCCUCGUUGAUUGGGAGAAGUUCUCGAUUGGAUCGGAUCAUAAAUCCAUUUUUUGAUUCGGUAUGGAUAAAGAUCCAGUCAUGAGCGAUAGUUCCAAGGACAGCUGACUACCGCUAAAAGUCAGGAAAAAAGGUUGAUGGAUGAAAGAUAAGUGGGACUUUCAAGCAAGGCCGGCAUGGGCUACGUGGGCCCCUAAGACCGUCCAAUAUCUUAUAUCGAUCUUGGUUCCGCGUAUCGCGCUUUAUCGGGUGAGAGCAAGCAGGCCCAAAAAAAAGAUGAGAACCUGCCUACAAGAUGUAGGUGCCAUUUGUGGCAAAAGCGAGGAACGAGUGCCUUAAAGCGGAGAAGGAAAACCGCACCCUUGUCUAACGGAUUGGGCUAAGAGAAGGGGAAGAGUUAGUCUUUCUGCCAUCGAUUACAGGCAAAGCACCUUGUGAGCAUAUAUCUCUGGUCAUCCCUUUCAUUUGAAUUAGGAAUCUCACAUCCCGAUCUCUUUUUCCGCCUUUCCUGUCUUUGUUAGUCUUUAACCUUCUCUUAAGUCAGCCUAACAAUAAUAAAGAGGGGGUUCGGGGGGAACCCCCCUGUCGACUGGCAGGACAGGUUACUUAGAGCAUUCCCCUCAGCUAACUGAACUCACUUGAAAGCUUGAAAGAGGUCUUCCCUAUAAUCUAUAUAAUAAGGCAUUCAUGAGCUUACCUGUAACCUGUAACUGGACUAACCUCGCCUUGCCCUAACUCUGCUCUGGACAGCUUCUUGCUCUCUCUAUUGACUUUAAAAGCGGAUUAGCCGACUUUGACUUCUAGGGCUUGAAGCCUUCUCUUCUCGCUCAUUCCCGACUAAUGGCAACCUUCACUAGUCCGG